GUGGGGAAUCUUCCGCAAUGGACGAAAGUCUGACGGAGCAACGCCGCGUGAACGAUGACGGCCUUCGGGUUGUAAAGUUCUGUUAUACGGGACGAAUGGUACGACGGUCAAUACCCGUCGUAAGUGACGGUACCGUAAGAGAAAGCCACGGCUAACUACGUGCCAGCAGCCGCGGUAAUACGUAGGUGGCAAGCGUUGUCCGGAAUUAUUGGGCGUAAAGGGCGCGCAGGCGGCGUCGUAAGUCGGUCUUAAAAGUGCGGGGCUUAACCCCGUGAGGGGACCGAAACUGCGAUGCUAGAGUAUCGGAGAGGAAAGCGGAAUUCCUAGUGUAGCGGUGAAAUGCGUAGAUAUUAGGAGGAACACCAGUGGCGAAGGCGACUUUCUGGACGAAAACUGACGCUGAGGCGCGAAAGCCAGGGGAGCGAACGGGAUUAGAAACCCCAGUAGUCC
rnacentral:rRNA from 1 species